AGGGAAAGGAGUGCCAAAGGAAUAUGCAAGAACAAAAAGGAAGAAUUAUGACUACAAAAAGCUUAUGAAAUGGAAGUGUAACAUACUUCAACGUACCAACAAGUCACUGAACCGAAAUACUGCCUAGUUUUUAGACUCUCCAGGGAUUUCAUUGAGGAACACUGGAAUGGUCAAAUAAUUGAAAAUCACGAAGAGGUUUGCAUUCAAGAAGAAAGGCUCAAUAGUUGGCG